GGACCCGCACAAGCGGUGGAUGAUGUGGAUUAAUUCGAUGCAACGCGAAAAACCUUACCUACCCUUGACAUGCUCGGAAUCCUGAUGAGAGUUGGGAGUGCCCGAAAGGGAGCCGGGACACAGGUGCUGCAUGGCUGUCGUCAGCUCGUGUCGUGAGAUGUUGGGUUAAGUCCCGCAACGAGCGCAACCCUUGUCAUUAAUUGCCAUCAUUGAGUUGGGCACUUUAAUGAGACUGCCGGUGACAAACCGGAGGAAGGUGGGGAUGACGUCAAGUCCUCAUGGCCCUUAUGGGUAGGGCUUCACACGUCAUACAAUGGUCGGUACAGAGGGUCGCCAACCCGCGAGGGGGAGCCAAUCCCAGAAAGCCGAUCGUAGUCCGGAUCGCAGUCUGCAACUCGACUGCGUGAAGUCGGAAUCGCUAGUAAUCGCGGAUCAGCAUGUCGCGGUGAAUACGUUCCCGGGUCUU
rnacentral:rRNA from 1 species